GUGGAUUAGAUACCCGGGUAGUCCACGCCCUAAACGAUGUCAACUAGGUGUUGGGUGGGUAAAACCAUUUAGUACCGUAGCUAACGCGUGAAGUUGACCGCCUGGGGAGUACGGCCGCAAGGUUAAAACUCAAAGGAAUUGACGGGGACCCGCACAAGCGGUGGAUGAUGUGGAUUAAUUCGAUGCAACGCGAAAAACCUUACCUACCCUUGACAUGUCUGGAAUCCUGAAGAGAUUUGGGAGUGCCCGAAAGGGAACCGGAACACAGGUGCUGCACGGCCGUCGCCAGCU
rnacentral:rRNA from 1 species